UCUUCUGAAGAGUUUGAGGAACAAAUGUAGGAGAAUGAUGACAUUAUAAUCAGAGAAAAUGACACAGAUUCGAAGGCUGGUGGGAAUCUAAAUGAUCUGACAUCGUUCAAGCUUAGGAAGCAUUGCAAGGAGAAGCUUUGAAACUUUUUGAAGAAAUAAUACAAAAACGAGGAAGCUGGAAUCUUAGGGGUAGCAUCUUGGAGCUGCAGUCCUGUAAUCACAUAAUGCUCAAGGAGAAUGAGUAUGAAAUUGGGCAAAGUCAGAGAAAGAAAAUACGUUCAUGUCAAUGAAGAAGCUAAGCAUGUGACUUGUUUCUUCUCACUCUAAGGAAUUUUCUCUGUUUCCUCUACUGUUUUCCGUUUGGAUUCUCCGUAAUUUCUCAAAACGAUCUAUCAAUUUCUUGUUCAUUGGCAAGGUAUGUCUCCAGCUGAAGCAACAUGGGAGUUUGCUAGUAAGCUGCAAUUGUGUUUUCUAGAGUUCCUUGAAGACAAAGUACCUUUGAAGCCUGAGGUAUUUAUGCAAACAUGAAUUGGUUACUGAAAUGCAGCGUAGGAGAUGGCAUGAAGUGGAUAGGCCUUAAUAAAACACGCGUUUAAGCCAGCAAGAGCAAACAAUGCCAUAAGGGAUUUCUGGUAGCAGUUACAAGAGCUAGAGAAAGGGAAAUUCUUACCUACCAUGGACCCAAGGAGCAAACAUAUGGGACCCAUGUGGGUCUCACCAUAUACCCUAUGUCUUGGGUCCAUGAUAGACCAAGUCUAGACAACAAAAAUCCUAGAGAGAGUUAGUGCCAAGAUUAGCUGGUUGUCAUAACCGAAUGUAGCUGAGCUACAAGUUUAUUACAGUAUCUGUUAGGCAGUUGUAACUGUAUACAUAAUCUCUGGUAUAAGAACCAGUCAUUGUAGAAGAAGAGAUGUAUUGGAGAAUUUGAUAAUGAAAUGUGCCUUACUUUUCUUUCUUUUGAAAUCUAAGUCUCUGUUUUCAGUUCUCAUGUCAAUUCCAGUUCUUGAAAUAAGAGGGCUGUUAAGAUGAACCAGACCGAUUACUAGUUUGAUUCCCGAUUAAAGCUUUGGGAUCGGCUGGAUUGGCCUAUUUCAAACAACAAUGAUCAUGAGAUGCAUAACAGAACUUCCCUAAUUCAUAGUUUAAUUAUUUCAUUAUAUCAUUAUCAUAUUCUUGUAAACUAUCAGGCCUAUCACAAUAGCUCCUGAAUUAGAGAUUUAACAAUUUAUUGUUUUAUACAGUCCCAUCAUCUUCAUCUGAUGCAAGUUAAAGAGAAAAAAAAAUGAGGAUAGCAAUUACAGAAGAAUAACAGAGAAGGAAGAAGAAGAAAAGAGAGAGAAUCAAGAAGAAAGAAUCAGAUCCAAGAAGAAACAGUUAUUCCAUUCAUGCUUUCAAUUACAGAAGUUUCUCCUCUUUAUAGAAGAACAUGCAACGUUCAUAACAGUAACCCAACAACUAAAACAGAUUCUUAACAAACAGCCACAUGCACAACUUCUAAACAAACUAACAGAACUCUACCCAAAGUCACGAAUCAUCAUCAUAAAGAAGGGUCACUAAAAAUGAAAUUGUACCAAAUAUUUUGAAAAUUAUGGCCUGCUGUAAACUGGCUUAGCAUCCUACAAAUGGCUCUUUUAUGGGGUCAGAUUUACAGUAUCUCUGGAUUUUCAGGCUUCAUCAUCAGCAUAAAAUAUCAAACGAAUUAAGAUUAUUGAACAAUUCUUCGAAUAAUCUAGUAUCUAAUAUCUUGUUUAUCAAUAUUAUUUUAUCUGCAUAAAUGAUAGAGAAAGUGCUAAACAAAAUACAAUACAAAAUUAAGUUGUUCACCCUUUUGUUAGAUCUUAUUAACAUAUUUGCUAGUCAUAUGAGCAAGUGGUAAUUAAGUUGAAUGGCAUUUAUCUCCAAUCUCCAUAAGGCAAGAACACAGAUCAUGAGGUUUAGAAAACAUGACCAUGUGAUCAGAGUUGGGGAUUACCUUUACCUCGUCAGGAGGAUUAUUUUCAAUCAUCAAUCUCUGGAAAACAUCAUUUUCUUGAUCACAAACUAUAUAAACUCGAUGAACAGAUCCAUAUCUCUCUUUAGUAAGUAGUAUUUCAUUAUGAAUUGCUAGAUCACUGAAAAGAGGAUAAGGUCGCACCAACAGGGUUGCCAGUACCAAAUUCUCAGGGGAAGAAAAGUGGUAGAACUUGGAAGCCAUGAAGUUGGGACCAAUGACUGUGGCAGUUGGAGGGUUGUUGGGUCCAUUGUCAUAGAUAUAUUUUGAGUCCAUGGGCGAAAUUGAUUCUUUGGGAUACUUUUGUGCUAUAGUUUUGUAAUCAAAAUCAGG
rnacentral:misc_RNA from 1 species